GGGGAGGCGAGGCGGGAGCCCUGAGCUGAGGCCGGGCAGCGCGGACCCGCGCAGGAGGAGGCGGCGGGGACACCGGCGAGUCCCCAGCAGGGCCCCUGGGCUCCCGGAAGAUGAAGAAAAUGAGACUUAGCAAGCCUGACAAGACGUAGAGCUAGGCCAUCUGAUCCCAACUCUAGUGUCUGCAUCUGGAGACAGUGGUUCUCCACCCCGGCUGCACACUCGGAUCAUCGGGGGAGCUGAACACUGCUGUCUAAGUCCCAUCUCUCGACCAAUUGAAUCAGAAUCCAGUUCCUCAGGGGGAUUCUCGCUUGCUCCAAGCAGAGCUGGAGGUGCUGCCAUGCGGGCACUUAGGUGAACACGAGAAGCCUCGUUCUAGAACAAUGAGUCACAGCCUGCUUGUUUAGCCAUCCAGCCCAGGUGCCACCGCCUUCUUCCCUCCACAGCUGCAGGUUUAUUUGCUUCUGUCUCUGAAGAGGUGAGGGUCUCCAGCCACCUGCCCUUCCCGAGAAGAGAGAGCUCUGGGCCUUCUUCCUGCCAGUCUGGUCUUCGAGUGCGUUCAGGACAGAUAGACCUUGGCACAGGCUGCCCCGAGAUUCCUGCGACGCUGUCUGUUCCUGCCUUCUGUGGAGCAUGGCACCCACAGGCUUCCAGGACGGAUCAUAGACCCGAGCCUCCAGGAGGGCGCCCUGUGCGGCUCACUGCGCGGUCCCUC
rnacentral:lncRNA from 1 species